rnacentral:snRNA from 1 species
AUACUUACCUGGCAGGGGGAGAUACCAUGAUCACGAAGGUGGUUUUCCCAGGGCGAGGCUUAUCCGUUGCACUCCGGAUGUGCUGACCCCUGCGAUUUCCCCAAAUGUGGGAAAUUCGACUGCAUAAUUUGUGGUAGUGGGGGACUGCAUUCGCGCUUUCCCCUG